UGUUGAACUGUAUCAUCAAUUUUGUGUUCCAUCCUAUGUACCGUGUUUCAUGUAAUAAACAACUUGAAUUUUUGAAUUUUUUUGAAUUUAGUCGCAGAGCGCGGCGUCGGCGGGCAGCUCGCCCAUCACCAUCAGCUUCAAGAACGCGCGCGCCAGCCCCUCGCACGCGCCCGACCAGCCUCCCAACGCUGCGGCGGAGUCGCGCGUGCGGCGGCCGCACGUCGCCUUCACGGACGAAGACGAGGCGCCCGCGCACGCGCCGCCCGACCUCGCGCACAAGGGUAA